rnacentral:ncRNA from 18 species
GCGGUUUUCUGUAACUGACGGAUUGGUGGGAGACCACAGGGGAGCAGAAAAUCGGAAUUUUUUUAAGCAGUGCAGUACUGCCUGGCGGAUAUUUUUAUAAUUGCCGGGCUUAACGGAAUUUCUUCGGUCUGUUUCUUCUAUGUGAUGGUGGUCGGCGGUGUUUUUGAUGAAUGGAAAUAUCGCUUUUUUGCUGUCAAUGAGGAGAAAAGAAGGAAAGCGUGCUGCUUUUUGUCGACCGUCUGGGCAGUUCUG